AGGAAGCCUUCAUGUAUUAUUGAAUACAUUUGAUCGAGUUAACAAUGGACUUAACUACAAGCAGGUAUUUUUUUAGUGCUGAAAUGGACACACUAAUUUUGAACCAUGUGGUGAACAAACCUUGCAAGUCACAAUGCCAGCUCGAGAUCCAGCCCAGCAUGUAACAGCAGCACUGAAACAGCCCCCAUCACUAGGCAAGGGACAGAAAGGAG